rnacentral:lncRNA from 1 species
AUGGGAUGUCACAGCCCCCUUCUCCUAGCAGCGGGAACCAUCUCCUACAGAGUUGUUGCGAGGCGCGGGUCACCUGCUGUGCUACAUGACUGCACAUCCCCAGGAACAAGAUUAUAUUUGGAACAACAAGCUCUACAGUCAACCCACAGAUUCCCCUGACAUCCUCCAGCCUGCAGCCAUAGUUCUAUCAGCUCUCUCCUCAGCCUUACUGCAGCAUAUUAACGCUUCUCACAGAGUCAUAUGGUAAGUGACAGAAACGCCUU